UUCUGCAUUUUCUGGUUAAUUUGAACAAUGAACUCAAAACCACAACAGGAAAAAUAUAUAUUUUAGAUUUACUGUAUUGACAUGCUGUGUUUAAGCAGUCAAUCUGUACUCACAUUGUCAUGCGCUCCAAAUAAAGGCCAAAAGAUUAAGAUGGCGAGACCCUGAGCUCUAAAUGGGAUUCCUGUGCAGGGGUGUUGGGCUCAGCAACUGAGGGGGGAUAUUUGGGUAGAACUUCUGCACCCUCUUAUUGAGAUAUGCAAGUAAGAAUGUCAUUGUGCUAUGGACACAAGACAGUAAAUUUGAAAGCGAACUGGUUAUGGUGCCCUCUGAGGGACUCUUACUUGGCAUGGAGUGGGUAUACCUGGGGCACACCUAUAGAGCAUGGUGUAGGGAUUCUGUCUCUCAAAUGACUUGUGUGUGUCUGGGAAUUCCAUAGAAGAAGCUGGCAAAAGUGGUUAAGGAUAGGGUGGUCUGGUCUGGACACACAGUGAUGGUGUGUCAGCCUUUGUAAGACUAAAGUUAUUCUUAGGGACCAAGGUGUGUCAUCCUUUAGGUCUGGGUUAAAACUGGGGACAUUGAGAAGGUGUAUCAGCUGUUUUGCGUCAAAGUAAUUCUUCAGAGACUUUAUCAACGUUUACUUAUAGGUUUAAUCUGGGGGCACGGUGGGGGUGUAUUAGCCUCCAUGGGCCUUGGUUAGCCUCGGGGAUCCAGGUGUGUCAUCCUUUAGGUCCAGGUUAUAUCUGGAGACACCGUGAUGGUGUGUGUGCCUUUAGGUCCAGGUUAUAUCUGGAGACACAAUGAAAAUGGAUCAGUCUCCAUGUGUCCAGGUUAUUCUCCAGGAUCAAGGUACAUCACUCUUUAUUUUUAGCUUAAAUCUGGGAACACUGAGAAGGUGUGCCAGCCUUUAUGCGACUAGGUGAUUCUCGGGGACCAAGUUGUGUCUGCCUUUAGUUCUAGAUUAUAUCCAGGAAUACUGUGACGGUGUGUCAGCCUUUAAGUGUCUAGGUCACUCUUAGGGAUCAAGGUGUAUCAGCCUUUUAUAUCUGGAGAACACAGCAAAAGUGUCUCAGCUCCCAUGUGUCUGUGCUGUUCUUGAUAAUCAAAGUGUGUCAGCCUUUAGGUCAAGGUUAGAUUUGGGGACACUGAGAAGGAGUGUGAUCCUUUUUGGGUCUAGGUUAUUCUUAGGGACCAGGAUGUGUCAGCCUUUACGUCUAAGUUUUUGUGACUAGGUUGUUCUCAGGGACCAAGGUGUGUCAACCUUUAGGGCUAGGUUUAGAUCUAGGGACACUAAGAAGGUGUGUCAGACCGGUGUCAGUCUGGUUAUUCUCAGGGACCAAGGUGUGUUCACCUUAAGGUCUCAAUUAUAUCUGGUGAUGCAGUGAAGGUUUAUCAGCCCCCAUGUGUCUAGAUUAUUCUCGGGGAUGAGGGUGAGUUCAUAUCCAUGGACAUCCCAACCAUGUGUCAAUCUUGUUGCAUCUCAGUUACUCUAGCGGUCCAAAGUAGCCUUUAGUUUGAGGUUAUAUCCAGGGACAACCAAGUGUUCUUCAUUAGAUAGGGUCUAUCUGUGCAUAUCUUUCCAUGUGUGUGUUAAGGUUAGGUUACGUGAGUAGGCAAACCCAUAACGAGUCUGGUAAAUUCC